UACGUAGGGUGCAAGCGUUGUCCGGAAUUAUUAGGCGUAAAGAGCUCGUAGGCGGUCUGUCGCGUCUGCUGUGAAAACUCGGGGCUUAACCCCGGGCCUGCAGUGGGUACGGGCAGACUAGAGUGCGGUAGGGGAGACUGGAAUUCCUGGUGUAGCGGUGAAAUGCGCAGAUAUCAGGAGGAACACCGGUGGCGAAGGCGGGUCUCUGGGCCGUAACUGACGCUGAGGAGCGAAAGCAUGGGGAGCGAACAGG
rnacentral:rRNA from 1 species